rnacentral:rRNA from 1 species
UGCAGAAUUCGCCUUAGAGUUUGAUCCUGGCUCAGGAUGAACGCUGGCGGUAUGCUUUACACAUGCAAGUCGUACGAGAGUUUUUAACUCAAGUGGCGGACGGGUGAGUAACACGUAAGAAUUUGCCUUUAGGAGGGGGAUAACAACUGGAAACGGUUGCUAAUACCCCAUAUGCUUUCGAGUAAAAUGGAUUUUCCGCCUAAAGAGAAGCUUGCGGCUGAUUAGCUUGUUGGUGAGGUAAUGGCUCACCAAGGCGACGAUCAGUAUCUGGUUUGAGAGGACGAUCAGACACACUGGAACUGAGACACGGUCCAGACUCCUACGGGAGGCAGCAGUGGGGAAUUUUCCGCAAUGGGCGAAAGCCUGACGGAGCAAUACCGCGUGAGGGAUGACGGCCUAUGGGUUGUAAACCUCUUUUUUCAGGGAGGAAUCAAUGACGCGUACCUGAAGAAUAAGCAUCGGCUAACUCCGUGCCAGCAGCCGCGGUAAGACGGAGGAUGCAAGUGUUAUCCGGAAUCACUGGGCGUAAAGCGUCUGUAGGUGGUCAAAUAAGUCAACUGUUAAAUCUUGAGGCUCAACCUCAAAAUCGCAGUCGAAACUAUUCGACUAGAGUAUAGUAGGGGUAAAGGGAAUUUCCAGUGGAGCGGUGAAAUGCGUAGAGAUUGGAAAGAACACCGAUGGCGAAGGCACUUUACUGGGCUAUUACUAACACUGAGAGACGAAAGCUAGGGUAGCAAAUGGGAUUAGAUACCCCAGUAGUCCUAGCCGUAAACAAUGGAUACUAGAUGUCGAACAGAUCGACCUGUGCAGUAUCAAAGCUAACGCGUUAAGUAUCCCGCCUGGGAAGUAUGCUCGCAAGAGUGAAACUCAAAUGAAUUGACGGGGAAGGGC